rnacentral:lncRNA from 1 species
GUAGUGUGUAUUGUAAGCCAUUCAUUCAUCCAUAGAUGAUUGAAUUGGACUGAUUUUUGAGUUAUAAUUUGUCCACUCUAAGCUUUGAAGCAUGAGCGUGUGUUUACUUGAUUGAAGCUUUUAAGCAAGAUCAAGUAUGUGUCUUUGAAGAGUGUCUUCUUUUUAUUGUAAUUCUUGUUUUAUAUCACUGCUGUGAUUGAG